ensembl:misc_RNA
CUGACAAAAACAGAGACUGGAUCCCCGUAUCCAUGGAACAGGUACAAGACAGCGAAUGACAGCGCAAACCUCCCACACAAUGCCCCAGCAAUGUGCCCCAGCCGCGACCUUCAGAGAUUGCUUCUAGGGGUGAGAGGAAAGUUCAGUCUCCGUUCCUAGUCAGUCCUUGGCCUCU